GACGAACGCUGGCGGCGUGCUUAACACAUGCAAGUCGAACGGAAAGGCCCUGCUUUUGUGGGGUGCUCGAGUGGCGAACGGGUGAGUAACACGUGAGUAACCUGCCCUUGACUUUGGGAUAACUUCAGGAAACUGGGGCUAAUACCGGAUAGGAGCUCCUGCUGCAUGGUGGGGGUUGGAAAGUUUCGGCGGUUGGGGAUGGACUCGCGGCUUAUCAACUUGUUGGUGGGGUAGUGGCUUACCAAGGCUUUGACGGGUAGCCGGCCUGAGAGGGUGACCGGCCACAUUGGGACUGCGAUACGGCCCCGCCUCCUACGGGAGGCAGCAGUGGGGAAUAUUGCACAAUGGGCGGAAGCCUGAUGCAGCAACGCCGCGUGCGGGAUGACGGCCUUCGGGCUGUAAACCGCUUUCGCCUGUGACGAAGCGUGAGUGACGGUAAUGGGUAAAGAAGCACCGGCUAACUACGUG
rnacentral:rRNA from 1 species